rnacentral:rRNA from 1 species
CCUACGGGGGGCAGCAGUAGGGAAUCUUUCACAAUGGGCGAAAGCCUGAUGCAGCAACGCCGCGUGAAGGAAGAAGGCCUUCGGGUUGUAAACCGCUUUUAUAAGGGAGGAAAAUGAUGGUACCUUAUGAAUAAGGCUCGGCUAACUACGUGCCAGCAGCCGCGGUCAUACGUAGGAUGCGAGCAUUAUCCGGAUUUACUGGGUGUAAAGAGUGGGGUAGGUGGGAUAAUAAGUAGCUGGUGAAAACUGGUGGUUCAACCAUUCAGACUACUAUCGAAACUGUUAAGCUCGAGACCAGUAGAGGUAACUGGAAUUACUAGUGUAGGGGUGAAAUGCGUAGAUAUUAGGAAGAACACCGAUAGCGAAGGCAGGUUACUGGAACGUUACUGACGCUGAGGCACGAAAGCGUAGGGAGCAAACAGGAUUAGAUACCCGAGUAGUC